rnacentral:piRNA from 1 species
UGAAUCACUUUCUUUUUCUGUGGGUCCCU